ACGUAGGAGGCAAGCGUUAUCCGGAGUUACUGGGCGUAAAGGGCGUGCAGGCGGUUGGCUAAGUUCGUUGUGAAAGCGCCCGGCUCAACUGGGCGAGGGCGUGUGAGACUGAAAAACUGGAGAGAGGUAGAGGCAAGUGGAAUUCCGGGUGUAGUGGUGAAAUGCGUAGAGAUCCGGAGGAACCCCGGUGGCGAAGGCGACUUGCUGGGCCUGAACUGACGCUCAGACGCGAAAGCAUGGGGAGCGAACGG
rnacentral:rRNA from 1 species